rnacentral:rRNA from 1 species
GACGAACGCUGGCGGCGUGCUUAACACAUGCAAGUCGAACGGACAGGCCCUGCUCUUGUGGGGUGCUUGAUUGGCGAACGGGGGAGUAAAACGUGAGUAUCACGCCCCUGUCUUUGGGAUAACUUCUGGGGACAGCGGCUCUAACCCCAUAGAAUCUUUUGCUCCGUGGGGGGGGUUGGUAAGUGUCGGCGGUUGGGGAUGGUCUCGCUGCUUACCAGCUUGUUGGUGAGGUAGUGGAUUACAAAGGCUUUGACGGGUAGCCGGCCUGAGAGGGUGACCGGCCACAUUGGGACUGAGAUACGGCCCAGACUCGUACGGGAGGCAGCAGGGGGGAAUAUUGCAGAAUGGGCGGAAGCCUGAUGCAGCAACGCCGCGUGCGGGAUGAAGGCCUUCGGGUUGUAAACCGCUUUCGCCUGUGACGAAGCGUGAGUGACGGUAAUGGGUAAAGAAGCACCGGCUAACUACGUG